rnacentral:rRNA from 1 species
UAUGUGAUCGUCUCUCGCAUAUCAAUAAGCGGAGGAAAAGAAACUAACAAGGAUUCCCCUAGUAACGGCGAGUGAAGCGGGAAGAGCUCAAAUUUGAAAUCUUAAAGGGUUUCCCUUUACGAAUUGUAGUUUAAAGAAGUGUUUUCUGUUGAGGUUUUGGUAAAAGUUCUUUGGAAUAGGACAUCAUAGAGGGUGAGAAUCCCGUAUUUGACCUUUACUUUCAACUUUGUGAUGCACUUUCAAAGAGUCGGAUUGUUUGGGAAUGCAGUCCAAAAUGGGUGGUAAAUUUCAUCUAAAGCUAAAUAUUGGCGAGAGACCGAUAGCGAACAAGUACCGUGAGGGAAAGAUGAAAAGAACUUUGAAAAGAGAGUUAAACAGUACGUGAAAUUGUCAAAAGGGAAGCGUUUGACACCAGUGUUGUUUUUCUGAAAAUCAAUUAAAGAACUGUUUAUGCUAAGUUGUUUAGACUUUAUCAGCUAACUGUUUAGUUUUGAGCUUUUCUUUAAUGCACUUUUCAGUUAACAAGUCAACAUCAAUUUCUUUUGCUGUAAAAAAGCUUGAGGAAGGUGGCUUGAGAUUCGUCUUAAGUGUUUAUAGCCUCUUGCCUAUGCAGUCGGAGAGAUUGAGGUCUGCAGCGUAGAUCCUUCGGGGCUAAAUGCAUUUGUGCUAAGUUAUAACAUUUUAUAGACAACUUGUUGACUAUGAUUUGUCUUGUAGCUUACUCGCUUAUGUUAUUUUACCUACGCUUAGGAUGUUGAGUAGCGACAUACGCAC